rnacentral:rRNA from 1 species
AUCGAACGCUGGCGGCAGGCCUAACACAUGCAAGUCGAACGGCAGCACAAUAAAGAUUUCGGUCUUUAUGGGUGGCGAGUGGCGGACGGGUGAGUAACGCGUAGGAAUCUGUCCUGGAGAGUGGGAUAACCCGAGGAAACUCGGGCUAAUACUGCAUGACAUUGAGAGAUCAAAAGCAGGGGACCGAAAGGCCUUCGGCCCUGGGGUGAGCCUACGUCGGAUUAGCUAGUUGGUGGGGUAAAGGCCUACCAAGGCGACGAUCCGUAGCUGGUCUGAGAGGAUGACCAGCCACACUGGGACUGAGACACGGCCCAGACGCCUACGGGAGGCAGCAGUGGGGAAUCUUGGACAAUGGGGGAAACCCUGAUCCAGCGAUGCCGCGUGUGUGAAGAAGGCCUUCGGGUUGUAAAGCACUUUAGGUGGGGAAGAAAGGUAGCGAGUGAAUAACUUUCUGCUGUGACGGUACCCACAGAAUAAGCACCGGCUAACUCUGUGCCAGCCGCCGCCGUAA